GGCCGCCUGGCGUAAUGGAAGCGCGUCUGACUACGACUGAGGUCCUAUUUAGGAAGGGUCCACCUUCCCAACAAGGCACUUGUCACGUGAUCAGGAGGUUGCAGGUUCGACCCCUGCGGUGGUCA